rnacentral:lncRNA from 1 species
CUGUGAGCCCACUCAGGCUGCAGAGACUGGGGUCCCAGUGCCAAGAGGCUGGGAAUUGGGUGUCAUCCAGGGGGAGUGUAAGGGGGGCAGCAAUGGUCAGUGCACUCCCCUGGCACCCCCACUGUGCAGAGGCAUGUGGCCCAGGACCGUGUGGUUGUGGGGUGGGAGAGGGCAAGUUGUCCAGAACUGGGGGCAGCCGAGCUUGGAAGUCUGGCCCCGCCCUCCCAGCUGGGAGAAUCUGGGCGAGAGCCUUUGCCUCUGCACUUGCCACCCCACCCUGCGAGCACUGC